rnacentral:rRNA from 1 species
AGGAAUAUUGGUCAAUGGACGAGAGUCUGAACCAGCCAAGUAGCGUGAAGGAUGACUGCCCUAUGGGUUGUAAACUUCUUUUAUACGGGAAUAAAGUGAGGCACGUGUGCCUUUUUGUAUGUACCGUAUGAAUAAGGAUCGGCUAACUCCGUGCCAGCAGCCGCGGUAAUACGGAGGAUCCGAGCGUUAUCCGGAUUUAUUGGGUUUAAAGGAAGCGUAGGCGGACGCUUAAGUCAGUUGUGAAAGUUUGCGGCUCAACCGUAAAAUUGCAGUUGAUACUGGGUGUCUUGAGUACAGUAGAGGCAGGCGGAAUUCGUGGUGUAGCGGUGAAAUGCUUAGAUAUCACGAAGAACUCCGAUUGCGAAGGCAGCUUGCUGGACUGUAACUGACGCUGAUGCUCGAAAGUGUGGGUAUCAAACAGGAUUAGAUACCCUGGUAGUCCACACAGUAAACGAUGAAUACUCGCUGUUUGCGAUAUACAGUAAGCGGCCAAGCGAAAGCGUUAAGUAUUCCACCUGGGGAGUACGCCGGCAACGGUGAAACUCAAAGGAAUUGACGGGGGCCCGCACAAGCGGAGGAACAUGUGGUUUAAUUCGAUGAUACGCGAGGAACCUUACCCGGGCUUGAAUUGCAACUGAAUGAUGUGGAGACAUGUCAGCCGCAAGGCAGUUGUGAAGGUGCUGCAUGGUUGUCGUCAGCUCGUGCCGUGAGGUGUCGGCUUAAGUGCCAUAACGAGCGCAACCCUUAUCGAUAGUUACCAUCAGGUUAUGCUGGGGACUCUGUCGAGACUGCCGUCGUAAGAUGUGAGGAAGGUGGGGAUGACGUCAAAUCAGCACGGCCCUUACGUCCGGGGCUACACACGUGUUACAAUGGGGGGUACAGAAGGCAGCUACACGGCGACGUGAUGCUAAUCCCGAAAGCCUCUCUCAGUUCGGAUUGGAGUCUGCAACCCGACUCCAUGAAGCUGGAUUCGCUAGUAAUCGCGCAUCAGCCACGGCGCGGUGAAUACGUUCCCG